rnacentral:rRNA from 3 species
UGAGGAUCGGGGCGUGUCGGGCUUGGUCGGGAAGUGGGUCAGCGCUAACGUGCCGGGCCUGGGCGAGGUGAGUGCCGUAGGGGCGCCGGUAAGUGCGGGCGUUUAGCGCGGGCGCGGUCUGCUCUCGCCGCGUGUCGGCCUCGCGCUGGCGCGUGGUGCAGGAUGCGCGCGUCUGCGCGGCGUUCGCGCCCCGGUGCUUCAACCUGCGUGCAGGAUCCGAGCUCGGUCCCGUGCCUUGGCCUCCCACGGAUCUUCCUUGCUGCGAGGCCGCGUUUGCCUUAGCGCGCUCCUUCGGGGGUGCGCGGGUGCGUGGAUCUCUUCGGCCGCCAUUCAACGAUCAACUCAGAACUGGCACGGACUGGGGGAAUCCGACUGUCUAAUUAAAACAAAGCAUUGCGAUGGCCCUAGCGGGUGUUGACGCAAUGUGAUUUCUGCCCAGUGCUCUGAAUGUCAACGUGAAGAAAUUCAAGCAAGCGCGGGUAAACGGCGGGAGUAACUAUGACUCUCUU